GGAUUAGAUACCCUGGUAGUCCACGCCGUAAACGAUGGAUACUAGGUGUUAGUAGUUUCGAUGCUACUAGUGCCGGAGUAAACACAAUAAGUAUCCCGCCUGGGGAGUACGGUCGCAAGACUGAAACUCAAAGGAAUUGACGGGGGCCCGCACAAGCGGUGGAGCAUGUGGUUUAAUUCGACGCAACGCGAAGAACCUUACCAAGACUUGACAUCCUCCUGACGAGAUAUGUAAUGUAUCUUUUUUCUUCGGAGACAGGAGAGACAGGUGGUGCAUGGUUGUCGUCAGCUCGUGUCGUGAGAUGUUGGGUUAAGUCCCGCAACGAGCGCAACCCUUAUUUCUAGUUGCCAGCAGUAAGAUGGGGACUCUAGAGAGACUGCCAGUGACAAACUGGAGGAAGGUGGGGAUGACGUCAAAUCAUCAUGCCCCUUAUGUCUUGGGCUACACACGUGCUACAAUGGACAGAACAAAGGGCAGCGAAGCCGCGAGGUGGAGCAAAUCCCAGAAAGCUGUUCUCAGUUCGGAUUGCAGGCUGCAACUCGCCUGCAUGAAGUCGGAAUCGCUAGUAAUCGCGGGUCAGCAUACCGCGGUGAAUACGUUCCCGGGCCUUGUACACACCGCCCGUCACACCACGAAAGUUGGUAACACCCGAAGCCGGUGGCCUGACCGUAAGGAGGGAGCCGUCGAAGGUGG
rnacentral:rRNA from 1 species